rnacentral:rRNA from 1 species
GAUGAACGCUGGCGGCGUGCCUAAUACAUGCAAGUCGAGCGAACGGACGAGAAGCUUGCUUCUCUGAUGUUAGCGGCGGACGGGUGAGUAACACGUGGAUAACCUACCUAUAAGACUGGGAUAACUUCGGGAAACCGGAGCUAAUACCGGAUAAUAUUUUGAACCGCAUGGUUCAAAAGUGAAAGACGGUCUUGCUGUCACUUAUAGAUGGAUCCGCGCUGCAUUAGCUAGUUGGUAAGGUAACGGCUUACCAAGGCACCGAUGCAUAGCCGACCUGAGGGGGUGAUCGGCCACACUGGAACUGAGACACGGUCCAGACUCCUACGGGAGGCAGCAGUAGGGAAUCUUCCGCAAUGGGCGAAAGCCUGACGGAGCAACGCCGCGUGAGUGAUGAAGGUCUUCGGAUCGUAAAACUCUGUUAUUAGGGAAGAACAUAUGUGUAAGUAACUGUGCACAUCUUGACGGUACCUAAUCAGAAAGCCACGGCUAACUACGUG